rnacentral:lncRNA from 1 species
GAGGAUUGAUUAGUGAUUGGAUUGCUAAUUAGCUCAAUUUGAUUGAAUAUUAAGGUUUGGAUCAAAUCUAAUUAAAUUAGAUUUAAUUUGGUUUGAUCUGAUUAGAUUAUAAGAUGACCUAAUCGUGAAUGGUGUUCGAUUUCUGAUUUGAUUAAAACUUGAGCUCGAUUAAUUUCUGAUUUGAUUAGGAUUUAAUCGAGGCUAUUUGUUACCUAAUA